rnacentral:rRNA from 1 species
GAUGAACGCUGGCGGCGUGCCUAAUACAUGCAAGUCGAGCGAACAGGCGAGGAGCUUGCUCCUCUGACGUUAGCGGCGGACAGGUGAGUAACACGUGGAUAACCUACCUAUAAGACUGGGAUAACUUCGGGAAACCGGAGCUAAUACCGGAUAAUAUAUUGAACCGCAUGGUUCAAUAGUGAAAGACGGUUUUGCUGUCACUUAUAGAUGGAUCCGCGCCGCAUUAGCUAGUUGGUAAGGUAACGGCUUACCAAGGCAACGAUGCGUAGCCGACCUGAGAGGGUGAUCGGCCACACUGGAACUGAGACACGGUCCAGACUCCUACGGGAGGCAGCAGUAGGGAAUCUUCCGCAAUGGGCGAAAGCCUGACGGAGCAACGCCGCGUGAGUGAUGAAGGUCUUCGGAUCGUAAAACUCUGUUAUUAGGGAAGAACAAAUGUGUAAGUAACUAUGCACGUCUUGACGGUACCUAAUCAGAAAGCCACGGCUAACUACGUG